GCUGCUUGCUGAAAUUCGCUGUAGAUUUCUGCUAACUAGCAUUUGAAACUUCGACGUUUACUUUCCUCUUGCUGUUAUUGUAAGAGUCAACAGAUUAGUAAUUGUUUUUUCCGCUGGCUGAACGAGGAUUUUGUGUUUUGCGACGGACACUAGAAGAAAUCGGUUGGAAGCUGAACUGGCGUGAGCUGUGAUCGUAGUGCCAGUGUAUGUGUAUACAAGAUUUUGAUCUCUGGCCGGGUCUUUUUCUUUUCUUGGUUUUUUUCCUUCUGUGAAACCUGAGAUCUGCGCAUGGAUUCUUCUGCUGUGAUCGCUUCUGCAUUGCAGAGGUGGAGGUAACUUCCAGCAGUUGUGGCUAGCCAACCUAAUUGGAGAUAAGAACUGUGAUUUUGUUAUCCACCCGGUGGAUUUAUGUUUAUUUCUGAAUUUAUAUUGACAUUUCGUGCAUUGAAGGACAAUUCAUUUAAUUGAUAUUUUUGUGUUUAUACAUUAAUACAAUACAUAAAACUUA